ACCUUAUAUGUAAUCACAGCAGUCAGGCGGCGAGUGAUAAAAUCCGUCGUCAAGAGGGAAACAACCCAGACUACCAGCUAAGGUCCCUAAAUCUUACUUAAGUGGAAAACGAUGUGAAGUUACUUAAACAACCAGGAGGUUGGCUUAGAAGCAGCCAUCCUUUAAAGAAAGCGUAAUAGCUCACUGGUCUAGUGAUUUUGCGCGGAAAAUAUAACGGGGCUAAAGUAAGUACCGAAGCUGUAGACUUAGUUUACUAAGUGGUAGGAGAGCGUUCUAUUUGCGUCGAAGGUAUACCGGUAAGGAGUGCUGGAGCGAAUAGAAGUGAGCAUGCAGGCAUGAGUAGCGAUAAUUAAUGUGAGAAUCAUUAACGCCGUAAACCCAAGGUUUCCUACGCGAUGCUCGUCAUCGUAGGGUUAGUCGGGUCCUAAGUCGAGUCCGAAAGGGGUAGACGAUGGCAAAUUGGUUAAUAUUCCAAUACCAACAUUAGUGUGCGAUGGAAGGACGCUUAGGGCUAAGGGGGCUAGCGGAUGGAAGUGCUAGUCUAAGGUCGUAGGAGGUUAUACAGGCAAAUCCGUAUAACAAUACUCCGAGAACUGAAAGGCUUUUUGAAGUCUUCGGAUGGAUAGAAGAACCCCUGAUGCCAUCGAGCCAAGAAAAGUUUCUAAGUUUAGCUAAUGUUGCCCGUACCGUAAACCGACACAGGUGGGUGGGAUGAGUAUUCUAAGGCGCGUGGAAGAACUCUCUUUAAGGAACUCUGCAAAAUAGCACCGUAUCUUCGGUAUAAGGUGUGGUUCGCUUCGUAUUAGGAUUUACUCCGAAAGCGAAGAAACUUACAACAAAGAGUCCCUCCCGACUGUUUACCAAAAACACAGCACUCUGCUAACUCGUAAGAGGAUGUAUAGGGUGUGACGCCUGCCCGGUGCUCGAAGGUUAAUUGAUGGGGUUAGCAUUAGCGAAGCUCUUGAUCGAAGCCCGAGUAAACGGCGGCCGUAACUAUAACGGUCCUAAGGUAGCGAAAUUCCUUGUCGGUUAAAUACCGACCUGCAUGAAUGGCGUAACGAGAUGGGAGCUGUCUCAAAGAGGGAUCCAGUGAAAUUGUAGUGGAGGUGAAAAUUCCUCCUACCCGCGGCAAGACGGAAAGACCCCGUGGACCUUUACUACAGCUUGACACUGCUAUUUGGAUAAGAAUGUGCAGGAUAGGUGGGAGGCUUUGAGUAUAUGACGCCAGUUGUAUAUGAGCCAUUGUUGAGAUACCACUCUUUCUUAUUUGGGUAGCUAACCAGCUUGAGUUAUCCUCAAGUGGGACAAUGUCUGGUGGGUAGUUUGACUGGGGCGGUCGCCUCCCAAAUAAUAACGGAGGCUUACAAAGGUUGGCUCAGAACGGUUGGAAAUCGUUCGUAGAGUAUAAAGGUAUAAGCCAGCUUAACUGCAAGACAUACAAGUCAAGCAGAGACGAAAGUCGGUCUUAGUGAUCCGGUGGUUCUGUGUGGAAGGGCCAUCGCUCAAAGGAUAAAAGGUACCCCGGGGAUAACAGGCUGAUCUCCCCCAAGAGCUCACAUCGACGGGGAGGUUUGGCACCUCGAUGUCGGCUCAUCGCAUCCUGGGGCUGGAGCAGGUCCCAAGGGUAUGGCUGUUCGCCAUUUAAAGCGGUACGCGAGCUGGGUUCAGAACGUCGUGAGACAGUUCGGUCCCUAUCUGCCGUGGGCGUAAGAAGAUUGAAGAGAUUUGACCCUAGUACGAGAGGACCGGGUUGAACAAACCACUGGUGUAGCUGUUGUUCUGCCAAGAGCAUCGCAGCGUAGCUAAGUUUGGAAAGGAUAAACGCUGAAAGCAUCUAAGCGUGAAGCCAACUCUAAGAUGAAUCUUCUCUAAGCUCUCUAGAAGACUACUAGUUUGAUAGGCUGGGUGUGUAAUGGAUGAAAGUCCUUUAGCUGACCAGUACUAAUAGAGCGUUUGGCUUAUCUUUAAUAAAGCAU
rnacentral:rRNA from 1 species